GGUUCCAUAGUGUAGUUGGUCAUCACUCCAGACUCUGAAGUCACGUGACUCGUGACAAAGAAAUCUGGCGACCCGAGUUCGAAUCUCGGUGGGACCU